rnacentral:piRNA from 1 species
UGGACUAGGGGCUGCGGAGCCCAGUGGUUGC